UCUAAGUGAUUAAAUAUAAUUUAAAUUCCGUUUGUUUCAGGCUUCUUAUGCCUAAAUUUUGUACUGCUCAUUUCUAUCUUUAAAUUACAACUGGUUUUACUACUGUCGGAAGAGGUCGCUAGUAAAAUUCUUAAAACACUUUAUUUCACAGCCUAUAACAUAAGUUGAACUUUGAGGAUUACUUUUAAGGCUCUAACAUGCCAAUACAUUCUUAUGCUUUAAAGGUUACCUAUUAUACAGAAGUCUGAAAGUAGAUGGUACUUUCAUUGACCUCUGGCAUCACAAAU